UACGUAGGGUGCGAGCGUUUUCCGGAAUUAUUGGGCGUAAAGAGCUUGUAGGCGGUUUGUCGCGUCUGCUGUGAAAAUCCGGGGCUCAACCCCGGACUUGCAGUGGGUACGGGCAGACUAGAGUGUGGUAGGGGAGACUGGAAUUCCUGGUGUAGCGGUGGAAUGCGCAGAUAUCAGGAGGAACACCGAUGGCGAAGGCAGGUCUCUGGGCCACUACUGACGCUGAGAAGCGAAAGCAUGGGGAGCGAACAGG
rnacentral:rRNA from 1 species